GAUGAAGAACGCAGCGAAAUGCGAUACGUAAUGUGAAUUGCAGAAUUCAGUGAAUCAUCCAGUCUUUGAACGCACAUUGCGCCCCCUGGUAUUCCGGGGGGCAUGCCUGUCCGAGCGUCAUUGCUGCCCUCAAGCACGGCUUGUGUGUUGGGCCUCCGUCCUCCUCCCGGGGGACGGGCCCGAAAGGCAGCGGCGGCACCGCGUCCGGUCCUCGAGCGUAUGGGGCUUCGUCACCCGCUCUUGUAGGCCCGGCCGGCGCUUGCCGACACAUCAAUCUUUUUUCCAGGUUGACCUCGGAUCAGGUAGGGAUACCCGCUGAACUUAAGCAUAUCAAUAAGCGGAGGA
rnacentral:misc_RNA from 1 species